rnacentral:tRNA from 1 species
GCCCGGCUAGCUCAAUCGGUAGAGCGUGAGACUCUUACAGCUCUCACACAGCGAGGCAUCUCAAGGUUGUGGGUUCGACCCCCACGUCGGGCU